AAGUCGUAACAAGGUUUCCGUAGGUGAACCUGCGGAAGGAUCAUUAACACGUAUCCACGUAUCACCCUAUGUGCACUCGUUUAUUCUCCCUUGGGAUCACAUGAAUUGGCUAGUACGUAGUUCCGGAAUUGAAUGGGCUUGACUUCGGUCAUCCACUGGACUAUGUAUGACCUUACAAUUGUAGUGAUACUGAGGCUAUUUCUGCUAUUCUAAUCUCCAUUCAAGAGGGGAAUAGUGGAUAACACUUAUAACUAUAAUCACCCACUUUUUGCUAGUUGACUUUUUUAUGUUGAUUUUAGAGUAAUUAAUUUUAUUCUGACUUCACACGUUUAAUUAUUUGAACGUAAAAUACAACUCUUAGCAAUGGAUAUCUUGGUUCUC
rnacentral:misc_RNA from 1 species